rnacentral:misc_RNA from 1 species
AACUUUUAGCAAUGGUUCACUUGGUUCUGGCAUCGAUGAAGAACGCAGCGAAAUGCGAUAAGUAAUGUGAAUUGCAGAAUUCAGUGAAUCAUCGAAUCUUUGAACGCACAUUGCGCCCGCCAGUAUUCUGGCGGGCAUGCCUGUCCGAGCGUCAUUUCAACCCUCGAACCCCUCCGGGGGUCCGGCGUUGGGGAUCGGCCCUUAACCGGCCGGCCCCGAAAUACAGUGGCGGCCUCGCCGCAGCCUCGCCUGCGCAGUAGUUUGCACACUCGCACCGGGAGCGCGGCGCGGCCACAGCCGUAAAACAAACCAAACGCUGAACUGUUGACCUCGGAUCAGGUAGGGAUCCCCGCUGAACUUAGGCAAAUCAAUAAGCGCAGGCU